CGCCCGAGCCGAGCCGACCGGACCCGACCACACCCCUCGUCUCCCCUGCGAACCCACUCCAGUCCCGCCCUACGCCCGCGGUCAUGUGACACGCUCAACAACGCACUCGCUGUGUCUCCGGAGAAAUAGAGGAGAAGAAGAAGAAUUUCGUAACCGGGGGAAGUUUUGUUUCCGUGCCAGUCCCGACUUUAUCUGUCAUUUGGAGUUUUUGUUGUUUUUCCAAACGGCGAUCGGUUGACCAAUACGUGUGACACGGUUUUGUUAUUUUCGACUGCGAAACUUUUUUUUUAACAGAACGGAAUUUAAAACGGAUUUAUUUAUUUUUUAUUUUUAUUUUUUACCUUACGCACGGAGACAGUUUACUAAGAGAUUUAAACAACGGGAAUAAUUCACGAAUAAACACACAAUAUUCUCCAUUGUAAAGUCUGGCUGCAGUCAUGAUGGUGUAUGACUUUCCACUGAAGACAGACAUGGAGACGGUGAGACUGGAGUCUCUCUAUCAGUCUUAUCCCUCGGUAGUGAACAGCGUUAUCUUCACCCCUCAUCCCUACCACCCCACACAAUACGCACACACACACACCUUCUCCCCCUCACACACACUCACACACGCCCAGUCCGCCAACCCCACCUCAAAUACACAACUCGAACCAGUCGACUUGUCGGUCAGCAAACGACCCUCUCCCUCCUCCUCCUCCUCCCCUUCUUCCUGUUCCUCCACUUCCUCCCCGUACAGUCGUUCCUCCCCCCAGCCCUCCCCCUCCCUCCAUUACCCCGUGUUGUUAGGCUCCGGCCCCGGGGUCGUCCAGGGUUCAGGGGUCAUGCUGUCCCAGGUCAUGCUACAACCCUUGUCCAUCCUCUACCCCUCCUCCCCGCUGCACCUGCCUCAGCCAAUCGCGGUCAACCGAACCGUCGCUGGCGACGACCACCACCAUCAUCAUCAUCAUCACCAUCACAGGCCGGCAGGAAGCUCACAACAUCAGACAGCAUCCUCCAUGAAGUCAGAGCUCAGAGGCGACGCACACCACAAGCUAAUCAAAACAGAGCAUGCCCACGACUCAUACAACCAGGAAAUGACCUCAUCGGUCAUCAGCGCGCCACAGGCCUAUAGCGAUAACAACCCGUCUGUGAUCGUCCAUUCUGGGGUUAAUCACCCGUUGCCAAUCGAGUCUCCGGACUCGAUGAAGAAGAGACGAAUCCACCGUUGUGAUUUCAACAGCUGCAACAAAGUCUACACCAAGAGCUCUCAUCUGAAGGCACAUCGCCGCACACACACAGGAGAGAAGCCCUAUAAGUGCAUGUGGGAGGGGUGCACGUGGAAGUUCGCCCGUUCGGACGAACUGACUCGUCACUUCCGUAAACACACAGGCGUCAAACCGUUCCAGUGUCCCGACUGUGAACGCAGCUUCUCCCGAUCCGACCACCUGGCUCUACAUAAGAAACGGCACCUGCUGGUCUGAACGGCAACGCAACGCAACGGCUGUGAAACGUCAUUUCGACACACAAGGCGAACGCAGCCCGUUGGGUAGUUGGUCCAUACAGGACCCCAAGACAGGACCGUUGGACAGAGAGAGACCCGGGGACUUAAACAUCCUCUAUCUGUCUAUCACUUUAUUCAGUCAGCCAAUCAGCCGUCCUCUUCCUCUCCACUCCUCCACCUCUUCUUAGUACCAGAGCUCCCCGUUGUCUCCCAGUACUCGCCGUUGUCUCCCAGUGCUCGCCGUUGUCUCCCAGUGCUCGCCGUUGUCUCCCAGUGCUGAAGGCGGAUGGUGUUCGUAGGCCCAGAUCUAGGAUCAGCUAAACCUCCAGACAUCUUGACCUUAACCAUAGAGAGAGACAGACAUCUUAACCUUAACCAUAGAGAGAGACAGACAUCUUGACCUUAACCAUAGAGAGAGACAGACAUCUUAACCUUAACCAUAGAGAGAGACAGACAUCUUGACCAUAGAGAGAGACAGACAUCUUGACCUUAACCAUAGAGAGAGACAGACAUCUUGACCUUAACCAUAGAGAUAGACAGAGGUCUUAACCAUAGAGCUAGACAGAGGUCUUAACCAUAGAGAUAGACAGAGGUCUUAACCAUAGAGAUAGACAGAGGUCUUAACCAUAGAGAUAGACAGAGGUCUUAACCAUAGAGAUAGACAGAGGUCUUAACCAUAGAGAUAGACAGAGGUCUUAACCAUAGAGAUAGACAGAGGUCUUAACCAUAGAGAUAGACAGAGGUCUUAACCAUAGAGAUAGACAGAGGUCUUAACCAUAGAGCUAGAACGAGGACUCAACUUUGUACGGCGUCUGUGACGGCAUGGGCAGCGCCAAUGAUCGCCAUUUUAAAGUGAUACAUUUUUUAAAUAUAUAUAUAUAUAUAUAUAUAUAUAUAUAUAUAUAUUAUUUUAAAGCAGAUAUUUGUGAUUUUAGCGCCAUCUGCAGUGCCGGAGUCCUGAACCACAUUUAGUCUUACGUUUAUUGUGGCCACUAGAUGGCGGUGACAUGGCUCCAUAGAGAUAGACAGACAUGGCUCCAUAGAGAUAGACAGACAUGGCUCCAUAGAGAUAGACAGACAUGGCUCCAUAGAGAUAGACAGACAUGGCUCCAUAGAGAUAGACAGACAUGGCUCCAUAGAGAUAGACAGACAUGGCUCCAUGCCAUUAACAAACCGUAACAACCUAUUUGAAGAAGAAGAAGACAUUUGCUCAUAAGGCUGAUCGCUCUCAAACCCCAUAAGGAUUCCCUACCCAGUUUGACUACUUUAAAAUGGUGGAAGUCCUCGAUGUCCAUGCUAAAAAAUUACAAAAAACGGGUUCUAAUCCUUCCAGAGAGUUCCUUUGUACCUCUAUGAAUGCAUUAUGGAUACAGCACCACAGAUACAACGAUUAGACAGAUGUUUCACCAUAUAUAUAUAUAUAUAGAGAGAGAGGGAGAGAAACGUUUGUUAACGGCUGACCUGAGAUUAGAGUCAACGUGGACUGAGUGGCUCCCUCUGCUGGACGGAGGGGACUACCUGCUGCUCAGUACUCAGUGGACACACACACACACACACACACACAGCUCAACAGCCUGUACUGACUCUAGUCACAUGAGUGGAGUCACAGGUCAACAGCAGGCUCUGGUAGAAGGGCUGUGGGGGUUCCCAACCACAGGUCAACAGCAGGCUCUGGUAGAGGGAGGGGAACGGCUGUGGGGGUUCCUAACCACAGGUCAACAGCAGGCUCUGGUAGAGGGAGGGGAACGGCUGUGGGGGUUCCUAACCACAGGUCAACAGCAGGCUCUGGUAGAGGGAGGGGAACGGCUGUGGGGGUUUCCAACCACAGGUCAACAGCAGGCUCUGGUAGAGGGAGGGGAACGGCUGUGGGGGUUCCUAACCACAGGUCAACAGCAGGCUCUGGUAGAGGGGGUGGAACGGCUGUGGGGGUUUCCAACCACAGGUCAACAGCAGGCUCUGGUAGAGGGAGGGGAACGGCUGUGGGGGUUCCUAACCACAGGUCAACAGCAGGCUCUGGUAGAGGGGUGGAAGGGCUGUGGGGGUUCCUAACCACAGGUCAACAGCAGGCUCUGGUAGAGGGAGGGGAACGGCUGUGGGGGUUCCUAACCACAGGUCAACAGCAGGCUCUGGUAGAGGGGGUGGAACGGCUGUGGGGGUUCCUAACCACAGGUCAACAGCAGGCUCUGGUAGAAGGGCUGUGGGGGUUCCCAACCACAGGUCAACAGCAGGCUCUGGUAGAGGGGGUGGAACGGCUGUGGGGGUUCCUAACCACAGGUCAACAGCAGGCUCUGGUAGAGGGGGUGGAACGGCUGUGGGGGUUCCUAACCACAGGUCAACAGCAGGCUCUGGUAGAGGGGGUGGAACGGCUGUGGGGGUUUCCAACCAUUACAAGGCAAAGGCUUGUUGUCUUUGAUUCUAGAAAUGUGAAACAAACUCUUUUUAUUAUCCUGGGGCAUUAUCAUGAUCAUUAUUCUGUUUGAUUAUUUUUUAUUCUUAUUAUUAUAAUAAUUGUUGUUGUUGUUGUUGUUGUUGUUGUUGUUGUUGUUGUUGUGUAAAUAAAAUACUUCCAUUGAGCCGGUUGAAAGUGGACUCGGCGAUAUGACAUCAUCAUAUACGGCAGGAAGCAGGGUGACUUCCUGCUUUACAAAA